ACGUAAGGUCCGAGCGUUGUCCGGAAUCAUUGGGCGUAAAGGGUACGUAGGCGGGUAAGCAAGUUAGAAGUGAAAUCCUAUAGCUCAACUAUAGUAAGCUUUUAAAACUGCUCAUCUUGAGAUAUGGAAGGGAAAGUGGAAUUCCUAGUGUAGCGGUGAAAUGCGCAGAUAUUAGGAGGAAUACCGGUGGCGAAGGCGACUUUCUGGCCAUAAUCUGACGCUGAGGUACGAAAGCGUGGGUAGCAAACAG
rnacentral:rRNA from 1 species